rnacentral:lncRNA from 1 species
AUUCAGGCCCCUUCUCACCUUCAUUCAGAUCAGGCCCCAUUUCACAUUCAUUCAAUUCAGGUCCACUCUCAUGCUCACCAAACAAAUCAGUCUCAUCCAUCAUUGGGCCAAAGUCAUUUAAGUCCAACUCAGGCCCAGUUUCAUUCACAUCACAGUUGGGACCAUUUACACCACUAUUAGCAUUUUCAGCAUUUUUAAC